rnacentral:rRNA from 1 species
AUUGAACGCUGGCGGCAUGCCUUACACAUGCAAGUCGAACGGCAGCACGGGAGCAAUCCUGGUGGCGAGUGGCGAACGGGUGAGUAAUAUAUCGGAACGUGCCCGGUCGUGGGGGAUAACGUAGCGAAAGCUACGCUAAUACCGCAUACGAUCUACGGAUGAAAGCGGGGGAUCGCAAGACCUCGCGCGAUUGGAGCGGCCGAUAUCAGAUUAGGUAGUUGGUGAGGUAAAGGCUCACCAAGCCGACGAUCUGUAGCUGGUCUGAGAGGACGACCAGCCACACUGGGACUGAGACACGGCCCAGACUCCUACGGGAGGCAGCAGUGGGGAAUUUUGGACAAUGGGCGCAAGCCUGAUCCAGCAAUGCCGCGUGCAGGAUG